AUACUGCCAUGUAGCUUGAAGCCUUCGACCAAAACCAUGUGGCUCUGCUGUUGUGUCUGACAGAUGUGCCACCACAUUCGACCAUUAUUCUUGGUAGUCAUUGCCUGUUGGUAGCAGCGGCUGUUGGUGGCAGUGGUGCAGCUGGGCAUGGGCUGCAGCUGGCAGUGGGGUCAGCAGUGUGAGCUCUGAAUGCUUCAGAAAGAAAAAGGGAAUAAUGCAGCUGGAAAACUUAUCGAUGGAGGAGGUAACACAAACAGUCAAAUUUUAAAAGAAAGCAGCUGGAUUACAUCUGGAGCCAAUCUGUGUUCCCUAAACAAACCCACCUGGGACUCAUUUCUUUGUGGAACCACUCCACUUUGUGGCACUGAGGAGAUGGGCGCUGCUGCAUGUGGGAGGGCAGCUGUGGGAAUGCCAGGGGACACUCAGCAUUUCAUGGCAAAAUGUGACUAAGUACUCUGCAGCAACGCAGGCCUGGUGACUGAGCGUGCUGGCAGGCUGGCCCGGGGACCUGCCUGCUUCUGAGGGACUGCUGUUGUAAUUACUGUCACCAUUGCUUGCAUCAAGGAUUACAACCACAUGAAUUUGGAGCCUCGUCACUUUUAGUCAGUGCUUUAAAGCUGGCUGUCUUUUAUACACGCCCGGUGGUUUCCUUGACCUAUUUUUGGACAAUUAAAAGUUAUUUUUAUAUCUAGACUUCCCAAUUAAUGGUAAUAAUAAAAGUGUGCUGAGGAGGAAGAGGAGAAAGGUAGUCAAAUGCUCAAUGAGGACUGUCUGGAAGAAAGGAGGAAACUCACACAAGCUAGAAUAUGUCACAGGUGUGAGAUGUUAAACCUCUAGCAGCUCCUUUUCCAUCUCUCCCCUGACAACUGAAGUGUUCAGUCGCUGAACCUUAUGUAAGGUAUGGCUGGUUGUCAUUGUGAGGUUGUACAACAGCUCAGGGGAACAUCUGUAUUUGUUCCAGGAAUACUCUAAAAUGCUAAGUUAUUGGGUUUAUGGAUCUGUCUUCCCCGUUACCUCUGCAUGUUCUGUUACAGCUCCAACACGGGUGCUGUGGAAGCAACCCUUAUAGAUAGCUCGUAUAUAACAUUUGUGCUGCAGACCCAACCCUCUCUGUUAAGCCUCGAUGAGCAUCCAUCCUCAGUGAGCAUCCAUCCUUGACACUCAGUGCUGUGCCAUCUCCGGCCAAGCAGAUCUGAGGAUUACCAGGUCAUCAGGAGGAAGAGAAGCAGAAAGCUGGAAGACUGGACUGAGGCUCUGUCCAGCCCAUGCUCUGCCUCCGCCUCCUUCCAUCUGGCAGUAGAUCUGUAGAAAAGAAUAUGAGAACAAGACUAUGUGUAGUUUUGCUUCCCUGUCUUGUACAUAUUCUGGACCAGCCUCUGCCAGUCGGAGGCUCAGGGACUUCCUCAAGCAGAGGUCGUGUCUUUAUGUUGAAUACCUGCUCCUGGCCGUGCUGCUGGUUCUGUUCUCACAGAGCUAUUCACUGGCAUGCCACAGUGCUGAUGCCCUCUGAGGUGCCCC
ensembl:lncRNA